AUGGCGGGGGCGCUCGCGGCCUCGGCGCCGGCGCCGGCGACGCUGCUGCGGGACGGAGGCGCCACGCUGCUCGUCACCGCCGGGGCCUACUCCCUCGUGCGCGCCUUCGACGCGCUCACCGAGCGCCGCAUCGUCCAACAGAGCUUGAGCAGGAAGGUUGUGCAUGUGCUAUCCGGGGUCUUUUUCAUGGCUUCAUGGCCACUCUUCAGCAAUUCGACCGGUGCACGGUUCUUCGCGGUAGUCCCGUUCCUGAACUGCGUCAGGCUUCUCGCCUACGGCCUCGGCUUCUACUCCGACGAAGCUCUUGUCAAAUCUGUGACCCGUGAAGGAAAACGAGAGGAAUUGCUUAGAGGCCCUCUCUACUAUGUCAUUGUGCUACUGAUCAUUGUUCUAGUCUUUUGGCGUGACUCCCCGAUCGGGAUCGUUUCCUUGUCGAUGAUAAGCGGCGGAGACGGCUUUGCUGACAUUGUUGGGAGAAGAUUCGGCUCGCUGAAGCUGCCAUUCAACGACAAGAAGAGCUGGGUUGGAGUGGCAAUGUUCAUAUCUGGGUUCCUGCUGUCCGCUCUGAUGCUGUAAUAUUUCUCGUGGCUUGGUUACAUCCAUGUCAGCUGGGAUCAGGCGAUUGGUAAACUGGUUCUCGUUGCGCUGGCAGCCACUGUGGUGGAGUGUAUUCCUGUAACUGAUGUUGUAGAUGACAAUAUCUCUGUUCCAUUGGCCACCAUGUUGGUCGCCUUUCUGUUGUUUGGCAACACUGCAAAUUGA
rnacentral:rRNA from 1 species